GUGGCCCAGUGGUUAGAGUGACAGCCUUGGAUGCAGGAGGUCGUGGGUUUGAUCCCUGGCCAAGUCA